rnacentral:rRNA from 1 species
GACGAACGCUGGCGGCGUGCUUAACACAUGCAAGUCGAACGGUGAAGCAGAGCUUGCUCUGUGGAUCAGUGACGAACGGGUGAGUAACACGUGAGUAACCUGCCCUUGACUCUGGGAUAAGCGUUGGAAACGACGUCUAAUACCGGAUACGAGCUGAGACCGCAUGGUCAUCAGUUGGAAAGAUUUUUUGGUCAAGGAUGGACUCGCGGCCUAUCAGCUUGUUGGUGAGGUAAUGGCUCACCAAGGCGACGACGGGUAGCCGGCCUGAGAGGGUGACCGGCCACACUGGGACUGAGACACGGCCCAGACGCCGACGGGAGGCAGCAGUGGGGAAUAUUGCACAAUGGGCGCAAGCCUGAUGCAGCAACGCCGCGUGAGGGAUGACGGCCUUCGGGUUGUAAACCUCUUUUAGUAGGGAAGAAGCGAAAGUGACGGUACCUGCAGAAAAAGCACCGGCUAACUACGUG